rnacentral:misc_RNA from 1 species
ACUCAUCAACCCUGUGACAUACCUAUAACGUUGCCUCGGCGGGAACAGACGGCCCCGUAACACGGGCCGCCCCCGCCAGAGGACCCCCUAACUCUGUUUCUAUAAUGUUUCUUCUGAGUAAACAAGCAAAUAAAUUAAA